GAACGCCGUAUGCGAUGAAAGUCGCACGUACGGUGUGAAGCGGGGGAAAAGGGAGUCCUAACGAUAAACGUCAGUUUAGUCGAGGACUGCCCUUACCUAUCGCUAU
rnacentral:ncRNA from 1 species